CGCGGUAAUACGGAGGGGGUUAGCGUUGUUCGGAAUUACUGGGCGUAAAGCGCACGUAGGCGGUUCUGAAAGUUGGGGGUGAAAUCCCGGGGCUCAACCCCGGAACUGCCUCCAAAACUCCUGGUCUUGAGUUCGAGAGAGGUGAGUGGAAUUCCGAGUGUAGAGGUGAAAUUCGUAGAUAUUCGGAGGAACACCAGUGGCGAAGGCGGCUCACUGGCUCGAUACUGACGCUGAGGUGCGAAAGUGUGGGGAGCAAACAGGAUUAGAUACCCUGGUAGUCCACACCGUAAACGAUGAAUGCCAGACGUCGGGCAGUAUACUGUUCGGUGUCACACCUAACGGAUUAAGCAUUCCGCCUGG
rnacentral:rRNA from 1 species